rnacentral:rRNA from 1 species
GAUGAACGCUGGCGGCGUGCUUAACACAUGCAAGUCGAACGGAAAGGCUCCUGCUUGCAGGGGUACUCGAGUGGCGAACGGGUGAGUAACACGUGGGUGAUCUGCCCUGCACUUCGGGAUAAGCCUGGGAAACUGGGUCUAAUACCGGAUAGGACGAUGGUUUGGAUGCCAUUGUGGAAAGUUUUUCGGUGUGGGAUGAGCUCGCGGCUUAUCAGCUUGUUGGUGGGGUAAUGGCCUACCAAGGCGUCGACGGGUAGCCGGCCUGAGAGGGUGUACGGCCACAUUGGGACUGAGAUACGGCCCAGACUCCUACGGGAGGCAGCAGUGGGGAAUAUUGCACAAUGGGCGCAAGCCUGAUGCAGCGACGCCGCGUGGGGGAUGACGGCCUUCGGGUUGUAAACUCCUUUCGUCAGGGACGAAGCGAAAGUGACGGUACCUGGAUAAGAAGCACCGGCUAACUACGUG